ensembl:lncRNA
UGUUAUUGUUGUUGUUUUUAUUGCUGUUGUUGUCACUUUUAUUGUUAUUGUUGUUGUUUUUAUUGUUAUUAUUUUUAUCGUUGUUGUUGUUAUUCUUGUUGCUGUUAUUUUUUAUUAUUGUUGUUAUUAUUGUCAUUGUUGUUAGUGUUACUGUAACUGUUGUUGUUGUUGUUGUUGUCGCUAGUUUAAAAGGAGACACUUUUCUCAAACAGUAACAUUUUGCUCCUAAAACCAAAACUCUUUUCUCACUCACUUUUCAGCUUUAACUUUAAUGAGACACGUAGUGGAGAUGCAGUGGAGACAUCGGUUGUAGGAGGUGAUGAAGGUGAGGGUGUUAGAGGUGGUGUUGGUGUGAAGGUUGUAGGAGGUGAUGAAGGAGAGAGUGUUAGAGGUGGUGUUGGUGUGAAGGUUGUAGGAGGUGAUGAAGGUGAGGGUGUUAGCGGUGGUGUUGGUGUGAAGGUUGUAGGAGGUGAUGAAGGUGAGGGUGUUAGAGGUGGUGUUGGUGUGAAGGUUGUAGGAGGUGAUGAAGGUGAGGGUGUUAGCGGUGGUGUUGGUGUGAAGGUUGUCGGAGGUGAUGAAGGUGAGGGUGUUAGAGGUGGUGUUGGUGUGAAGGUUGUAGGAGGUGAUGAAGGUGAGGGUGUUAGAGGUGGUGUUGGUGUGAAGGUUGUAGGAGGUGAUGAAGGUGAGGGUGUUAGAGGUGGUGUUGGUGUGAAG